GAUGAACGCUGGCGGCGUGCUUAACACAUGCAAGUCGAACGGAAAGGCCCAAGCUUGCUUGGGUACUCGAGUGGCGAACGGGUGAGUAACACGUGGGUGAUCUGCCCUGCACUUCGUGAUAAGCCUGGGAAACUGGGUCUAAUACCGGAUAGGACGAUGGUUUGGAUGCCAUUGUGGAAAGAUUUUUCGGUGUGGGAUGAGCUCGCGGCCUAUCAGCUUGUUGUUGGGGUAAUGGCCUACCAAGGCGUCGACGGGUAGCCGGCAUGUGAGCGUGUAGGGACAGAUUGGGAUCGAGAGACGGGCCAGAGUCGGACGGGAGGCAGCAGUGGGGAAUAUUGCACAAUGGGCGCAAGCCUGAUGCAGCGAGGCCGCGUGGGGGAUGAAGGCCUUCGGGUGGUAAACUCCUAUCGCUAGGGACGAAGCGUUUUUGUGACGGUACCUGGAGAAGAAGCACCGGCUAACUACGUG
rnacentral:rRNA from 1 species